AACGCUAGCUACAGGCUUAACACAUGCAAGUCGAGGGGCAGCAUGGUCUUAGCUUGCUAAGGCUGAUGGCGACCGGCGCACGGGUGAGUAACACGUAUCCAACCUGCCGUCUACUCUUGGCCAGCCUUCUGAAAGGAAGAUUAAUCCAGGAUGGCAUCAUGAGUUCACAUGUCCGCAUGAUUAAAGGUAUUUUCCGGUAGACGAUGGGGAUGCGUUCCAUUAGAUAGUAGGCGGGGUAACGGCCCACCUAGUCAACGAUGGAUAGGGGUUCUGAGAGGAAGGUCCCCCACAUUGGAACUGAGACACGGUCCAAACUCCUACGGGAGGCAGCAGUGAGGAAUAUUGGUCAAUGGGCGAUGGCCUGAACCAGCCAAGUAGCGUGAAGGAUGACUGCCCUAUGGGUUGUAAACUUCUUUUAUAAAGGAAUAAAGUCGGGUAUGCAUACCCGUUUGCAUGUACUUUAUGAAUAAGGAUCGGCUAACUCCGUGCCAGCAGCCGCGGUAAUACGGAGGAUCCGAGCGUUAUCCGGAUUUAUUGGGUUUAAAGGGAGCGUAGGCGGACGCUUAAGUCAGUUGUGAAAGUUUGCGGCUCAACCGUAAAACUGCAGUUGAUACUGGGUGUCUUGAGUACAGUAGAGGCAGGCGGAAUUCGUGGUGUAGCGGUGAAAUGCUUAGAUAUCACGAAGAACUCCGAUUG
rnacentral:rRNA from 1 species